rnacentral:rRNA from 1 species
AACGAACGCUGGCGGCGUGCCUAACACAUGCAAGUCGUGCGAGAAAGUUCCUUCGGGAGCGAGUAAAGCGGCGCACGGGUGAGUAACACGUAGGUAACCUGCCCCCCAGUCUGGAACAACUAGAGGAAACUCUAGCUAAUGCCGGAUGAGACCACGAUCCCUUCGGGGGUUGCGGCCAAAGAUGGCCUCUACUUGUAAGCUAUCGCUGAGGGAUGGGCCUGCGGGCCAUUAACUUGUUGGUGAGGUAACGGCUCACCAAGGCUGUGAUGGCUAGCUGGUCUGAGAGGAUGACCAGCCACACUGGGACUGAGACACGGCCCAGACUCCUACGGGAGGCAGCAGUGGGGAAUAUUGCGCAAUGGGCGAAAGCCUGACGCAGCGACGCCGCGUGGGUGAUGAAGGCCUU